ACCGUGAAGCCCCGCGCCCUCGGCAAGGCCACGCUUCGCCGGCCUGGGAAGCCAGGAGGCAGCGGAGCGCGGGUCUGGGGCACCGGGGACAUUGACAAGCAUAAUUGGGGUGCCAAACUGGGCUUCUUAAUAUCGAAGCCAGGAUGGGCGGGUGUGGCCGGGGGCGCGCGGGGUUAGCCAGCUUGGGGUGCUUUCCCUGUGGGCUCACACCGGCCGCGCGGACCCGCCGAGGCCGCGGGGCCUGCAAGUCCGUCGCCUCCUUUUGUUCUGGCCUCCGCUGUAAUUUAACAUAAAAUGCCUGUUAGAAUCACUGCUGCUUCUCCUUGUUUUGCCACCAGCUAACAGGAUUAGCCAACAAGAGCGAGAUUUCAAAUUAACCAUAAAAAUUACAAAUUGCAAUUCAUUUAGCUGCCCACUUACUACAUUAAAAAACAUAAAUAAAUGAAUCUGCGUAUUCAGAGGGUUGAAAGGCCCGCAAGGAAGCGAAAGCGGUUGAACUCAGGCCUCCGGGUCGGAGUCAGGGCUGUGGCGCUGGCGAGAGCGGGCCGCCGCGGAAUUGGCACCAUCUUCCGAGGGCCCAGAAAGAGGCAGCUUGGGUCAUUCGAGAAACCGAGGAGGAGGAAGGAAGCUGCGGGGCCCAAGCAUUUUUAGCACCUGUAUUCUCCCAGGGGAGGGACUGUGUGGGGGAAGAAGGGUGGGGCUCGGAGACAGGUCUGGGGGGAGAGCACUGGUUCCAAUUCGAGUUCGUCGGAAGGAAAGGCGAGAAAACCCAGCAAACGUGCUUUGCAAAAUUCUGGGGAGGGGGUGAUUCUCGUGUGGUGCCUCGUGUGUGAAGAAUAAGACGCUGGCGAAUUUUGCAGUGAAUUUAGAAGAGGCCCUGGCUAAAUUACUAAUUCCAGUCCAUUUGCAAGAGUCCUUGCCUUUUUUGUUUUGUUUUGUUUUUUUUAGGGAAGCAGGCCCUUCCCCUUGUGAAGCCGCCAUGAGCUUAAAACCCCGUUUGUGCAUUGGAGCUUUUCGAGUUACGGGUACUCAGAAAUCUACAGAUUUGUUUCUAGAGUUUUCGUUCCUAAACCGGCUGGUCACGGACACACGCUUUCGUCUCUCUGCAGCGGGGACGAGAACCCCCGAGGGGAUGUGGAGUUGCCCCCGCAGCGCGCGGUCGGCAGGGGGCGCGCUGGGACACCCUGGCCGCGCCCACUCCAGCCCAGACGGCCUCGCGUUAGGGCCGCGUGGGGGAAGCUCCAGCUUCUCUCCCCGGGAGAAGCGGCCCCGCAAGUCGGCCUGAGACCGCGGGUUUCUACCGGACAACGUGGGCAUCUGCCCGGGGACUUCCCUGAAAUGGAGGAAUGCGCGCCCCCAGGGAGCGCCGGAGGCCCAGGGAGCGCCGCAGCACCUGCAGCCUGGGGCGGCGUGAGGGCGGGGCCGGGGCG
rnacentral:lncRNA from 1 species